AUGCUCCUGCUACUCAUCCCAGUGCUUGAGAUGAUUUUUGCCCUGAGAGGAACCGGAGCGCAGUCAGCAACCCAGCCUGACAGCCAUGUCACCGUCUUUGAAAGAGAAGCACUAGAGCUGAAGUGCAAAUAUUCAACUUCUAGUUCACCAUAUCUCUUCUGGUACGUGCAGUACCCCAACCAAGGACUCCAGCUUGUCCUCAGGUACUUUUCAGGGGACACCCUGGUUAAAGGCAUCAAAGAUUUUGAGGCUGUCUUCAGGAAGAGUGACACUACUUUCCACCUGAAGAAACACUCAGUUUACUGGAAUGACUCGGCUGUGUACUUCUGUGCUGUGAGUGACACAGUGACUGAGACUGCAGGGGGAGCUGAACACAAACCUCCUGAGACACUGGGACUUUCUGUGACUCAAGAACUCAAUGUGGGGAGUUUUCAAGAAGGCCACAUUUUCCAAGGACAGGAUUCUUAUUGGUCUCCUCUUGGGCUCCUCCUUUCCUGUCCUUCACCAGAACUGACCUUCCUCUUGGGCAUCUUGUUGAAUGUGGUGCUUGCAGUCGGCAUGAUGCUAACUGAAUGCCAGCAAGCAGCCAAGUGA